rnacentral:rRNA from 1 species
AUUGAACGCUGGCGGCAGGCCUAACACAUGCAAGUCGAACGGUAACAUUUCUAGCUUGCUAGAAGAUGACGAGUGGCGGACGGGUGAGUAAUGCUUGGGAACUUGCCUUUGCGAGGGGGAUAACAGUUGGAAACGACUGCUAAUACCGCAUAAUGUCUUCGGACCAAACGGGGCUUUUAGCUCCGGCGCAAAGAGAGGCCCAAGUGAGAUUAGCUAGUUGGUAAGGUAACGGCUUACCAAGGCGACGAUCUCUAGCUGUUCUGAGAGGAAGAUCAGCCACACUGGGACUGAGACACGGCCCAGACUCCUACGGGAGGCAGCAGUGGGGAAUAUUGCACAAUGGGGGAAACCCUGAUGCAGCCAUGCCGCGUGUGUGAAGAAGGCCUUCGGGUUGUAAAGCACUUUCAGUUGUGAGGAAAAGUUAGUAGUUAAUACCUGCUAGCCGUGACGUUAACAACAGAAGAAGCACCGGCUAACUCCGUGCCAGCAGCCGCGGUAAUACGGAGGGUGCGAGCGUUAAUCGGAAUUACUGGGCGUAAAGCGCACGCAGGCGGUUUGUUAAGCUAGAUGUGAAAGCCCUGGGCUCAACCUGGGAUGGUCAUUUAGAACUGGCAGACUAGAGUCUUGGAGAGGGGAGUGGAAUUCCAGGUGUAGCGGUGAAAUGCGUAGAUAUCUGGAGGAACAUCAGUGGCGAAGGCGACUCCCUGGCCAAAGACUGACGCUCAUGUGCGAAAGUGUGGGUAGCGAACAGGAUUAGAUACCCUGGUAGUCCACACCGUAAACGCUGUCUACUAGCUGU